CCCCCGCGGGGCCGGGAAGGCCUCCGAUUUUCUUCUUUGGAAACUUCGCUAGGAAAGGAAAGGCUAGAUCCUGCCGAGGAGCCAGCUGAGGACCUGUUCGGUCCAGCCCAGCACUUAGCUCAGCUCCAAACGCUGUGAAUGGCUCAACUCCCUCAAGAUGAGAAGCUCGCUCAGGUCCCUUCCUUGAGCAAUCGGGACCACCACGAAACCACGAAAGGGUUUUGCUGCACGUCCAUAGUUACUAAAAGUGCUUUGCUCAGCCCACAGGAAUGAACAUUUUUGGAAAUUCCAUUCAUGGAAACAGGGGACGGGGAGCAGAGGGAGCCGCAUAAGGGUUCUCCAGGGCCUCCUUGACUCUGCUGACCAUCAGCGGCCAUGAACUGCUGCUGACAGACGAGAAAUGAAGUGGCAGAGACGGAGGGAGGGCAGAUGUCUGCAGCUGCAUGGUGCACCCCCUCCCUG